rnacentral:lncRNA from 1 species
UUUGAGUGACAUGUUUUUGUUUUGCAUUUCUCAUUGGGGGUCUCCUUGUGAUUGCGUCUUCAAACGCCCUGCCAUCCCAACUUCUAUCCCUUUCCCAAGACUUCUUACUUGUUUUACUAUGCGUGGGUGACAAAUCACCUUUUCUUGAUGCAUCUGCCCGGCAUUGCGUUAAGAUAUCGUAUUCCUCCCCUUCUUCAUAUAUAUGUCUUCUUGCACUCUCAUCCCGAAGUUGACUGUCCAGUAGAGUAUUUUUGGAGCUGUUGACACUAGCUGGUGUUAUCCCGAAUGAGAAAAUGUUGUUGUUUUGUUAUCGGCAGAAAGAAAAUUAUUGGAGCUGUUAACACUAGCUGGUGUUGUCCCGACUGAGAAAAU